AGAAAAGGCAUGUUUGAGAUUCCCCAGCAAAACAGAAUAAAUAAACAAAUUAAAAUUUCUUACAUCUGUCUCACAAUUGAAGCCAGUUGAUGUUCCAUGACUGCAAGUCUUAAGAAGACUUACCAGCCAAUGUUCCUUGACUUGCUCAUUUUAUCUUACAAGCCAAUGUUCCAUGUUUGCAUCGGCUUCAAUAAGAGUAAGAGUAAUUUCAGAAUGUGCAAGUGGUUUGCAGCCCGAGCACAAAGGUAAAUCUUCAGUUUGCUCUCUAAACUGAGCAGCAAAAAGGUAAUCUCUUAUUGUCUCUACUAACAUUUAGAGAUAUAAAAACAAAUCAAACAUGAGGAAUC
rnacentral:lncRNA from 1 species